GACCCAGGACGCCGAGGACGGGAUGACCGUCUGACGUUGGCGGGGCUGAAUCAGGAUGAAGCGUAGCGCGGGCGUCUCGCCCGCGUUUCGCAUUUGGGGCGAACCCUCCGCCACCUCACGCAGGUUACAGCCCCGGCGGCGGCCGGCCCGAUGAAUGCUUUACGGACGUU
rnacentral:misc_RNA from 1 species